UCUCAGUCCCCUACCUGCUCCUACCUGUUGGAUCACCUACUCACCCAGACCUGACUCACCUCUCCCCCUGCUUCCCUUCAGCCUGAAGAAACAUUCCGCCCCGCUGAGCAGUUCCCUGAGUCUGCCGUUAUUCCUGCUAUUUCGCAGCGCCUUCAGUUCCAGUUUGUUCUUCCCGUCGUUUUAUCAUUUCUAUAAUAAAUCUUGUUUAUUUUA